UACGUAGGGCGCAAGCGUUAUCCGGAAUUAUUGGGCGUAAAGAGCUCGUAGGCGGUUUGUCGCGUCUGCCGUGAAAGUCCGGGGCUCAACUCCGGAUCUGCGGUGGGUACGGGCAGACUAGAGUGAUGUAGGGGAGACUGGAAUUCCUGGUGUAGCGGUGAAAUGCGCAGAUAUCAGGAGGAACACCAGCGGCGAAGGCGGCGCUCUGGGCUGGAACUGACGCUGAGGAGCGAAAGCGUGGGAGCGAACAGG
rnacentral:rRNA from 1 species